UACGUAGGGCGCAAGCGUUGUCCGGAAUUAUUGGGCGUAAAGGGUGUGUAGGUGGCGCCGUAAGUCGGGUGUGAAAUUUCGGAGCUUAACUCCGAAACUGCAUUCGAUACUGCGGUGCUUGAGGACUGGAGAGGAGACUGGAAUUCAUGGUGUAGCAGUGAAAUGCGUAGAGAUCAUGAGGAAGACCAGUGGCGAAGGCGGGUCUCUGGACAGUUCCUGACACUGAGACACGAAGGCCAGGGGAGCAAACGGG
rnacentral:rRNA from 1 species